UACGUAGGGGGCAAGCGUUGUCCGGAAUCAUUGGGCGUAAAGCGCGUGUAGGCGGCCAGAAAAGUCCGCUGUGAAAACUCGAGGCUCAACCUCGAGACGUCGACGGAAACCAUCUGGCUAGAGUCCGGAAGAGGAGAGUGGAAUUCCUGGUGUAGCGGUGAAAUGCGCAGAUAUCAGGAAGAACACCCGUGGCGAAGGCGGCUCUCUGGGACGGUACUGACGCUGAGACGCGAAAGCGUGGGGAGCGAACAGG
rnacentral:rRNA from 1 species